rnacentral:rRNA from 1 species
CCUGGCGGCCAUAGCGCGGUGGUCCCACCUGAUCCCAUGCCGAACUCAGAAGUGAAACGCCGUAGCGCCGAUGGUAGUGUGGGGCCUCCCCAUGCGAGAGUAGGACACUGCCAGGC